rnacentral:snRNA from 1 species
AUCGCUUCUCGGCCUUUUGGCUAAGAUCAAGUGUAGAUCUGUUCACGUCAGCGUAAUCAAAAUAUAAGGUAUUACAGUUUAUAUUUCAAAAAGCAACUCUGAUUGUUUAUUAUACACAUUGUACUUUAUAAAACUAUU